GUGUGUCUGUGCGUGUGUCUGUGCGUGUGUCUGUGCGCGUGUGUGUCUGUGUGUGUGUCUGUGCGUGUGUCUGUGCGUGUGUCUGUGUGUGUGUCUGUGUGUGUGUCUGUGCGUGUUCCUGUGUGUGUUCAAGUUGAAGAGCUUGCCACUCACCUGUCUCACGGUUCUUGACCCCUGAGUAACGUUUCAGUUGAUCUGAAAGCCCUCAGCAGGAAAAUGGACCUAAUGCUCGCGCCUUAGCCUGUCUUAUCGCCCUUAGUCUGUUCAUUUGAAAUGUAUUUUAAAGGAAAAGUGCAAUAUGGGCUUUCAUCUACACACCUGUAGCUUCAACAUAGCUUCCUAACAAGGAUGUUGUUUUUUACAACAGACAUAAGGUGUCCCAAAUGGCACCUUAUUCCCUACAUAGUGAACUACUUUUGAACAUAGCCCUGUAUAGAGAAUACAGUGAUAUUUGGGACACAGACAUUCACAGCAUACUGAGAGUUGACAUUCAGAGACGCAAAGAAAAAUUUCUCCUGACUGACCCUUUAAAAAUACAAUUGGGCUGUGUGUGCUGUUGCAAUGUGCUUUUUUGUGUGUAUUUCACUCUCCACCUUGUGUCAUUGUCAUUGUAGAUGCUGUGUGCAUACUGUAUGUGAAAAAAAAAGAAACAAUGAAUGAAUAAACUUUAACUUCACUGACGUGCAUACACAUGCAUGGGGAAAUGUUGACAGGUUUUCUUAGUUUUAUUUGUAUGUGUCAAGCUGAUAUGGACCAUUCAACUCUAUUUCAUCAACUUUGAUUAUACAAGCCCUCUGUAACACAGUGAAUCUGUAUUUUAGCGUGAGCUUCUUUUACAACGAAACCAAUUGAUUUCUUUCAUUACACUGUUACAUUGUCUAUCUCGUAGUAGUGCAGUCCCAAGCAUUUUAUUCAUGGUAAUGGUUAUAAUGGCAAACACUUGAUUCAUAUUUGACUUGUUUUAACUUUUACCAGCUGGCUGGUUUAUUUGUUCUAUGCAGCAGAGAUGUAUUGGUAAACCUGUACCUGUGCUCUACUUUGAAACAUUGAAAAAUCAAGUAUACAAAAAAAAUUAUACACUAAAGAGUUGUAAUAAUUGGUUAUUUCUGAUUCCCCUGCUACUGUUUUUAUUUUUACAAGAAGGCUCAUUGUAUAUUUCUUAAAUUGUUUGGGUUCUGUUUUCGUACAUUCUUGACUAUUUGUAACCUGUGAUUUUUCUAACAAAUGAGUUGAACCAAUAUGUUGACAUGAGAUUCUGCUGUCAUGAAUGGAGCGCUAAGGAUUUUCUGCUGCAUAUUUGAAAUAUGAAUUAAUCAACACAUCACUAUGGAGGGUGAGGUUUCUCUGAUGCAACACAUCACUAUGGAGGGUGAGGUUUCUCUGAUGCAACACAUCACUAUGGAGGGUGAGGUUUCUCUGAUGCAACACAUCACUAUGGAGGGUGAGGUUUCUCUGAUGCAACACAUCACUAUGGAGGGUGAGGUUUCUCUGAUGUAACACAUCACUAUGGAGGGUGAGGUUUCUCUGAUGCAACACAUCAUCAGAUAUUUGUCAUCGCUUUUCAGCCACUAUAUCACCUACAUUUUGUGGGUUGAAGAACUUGGUAGGUAAGAGGAUGGCAGUCAAGACAGAUUGCUCUCUGAAAGACCGAGUACUGUAAAUUGAACUUUCAUUGUUCAAUCAGAUAUUAAAAAUCAAUCAUUUCUUUGAAUAUCAUCAUUUGCAAACUCACAUGGACCUUUCCUAAGGCUAAUCAGCUCAGUAGGUAGGGGAACCAGAAUUGAAUGGGGACCAGAUAUACCAUUCCUCUGUCUGAAACCUUGGCUGGUAUGAUAUUCAUGAUAACAGCACUUAGGUCUGGACUACUAACUUGACAUAACAUUUUAUCUAUUUCAAUUAUUUAUCCUCUAUUUCUUUUAUUUUUGUUCAUCUUUGUAAAGGGAUUUUAAAACUAUGCACACGAGUCCAAGACUCUCCGAGAGGUCCACCCAAACUCAUGACCUUAAGAAUUAUAAUAUUAAUAAUAAGAGAUGUAUAUGAUUAAAAAAGUCAACAGUUAAUGAAUUUAUAUCAAUAGACGACUAUUGAAAUGACUAUUUUUCUGAUUUUCCAGAAUUAUUUAGACAUUUAUUGUAAACACACACACAGGUAUUGCUCCAAAGUUUUCUUUUUUUUUUCUCCUAAAAUGCAUUUAUUCUAUCACAUUCAACUCACAUGUGGAGGGACACUGUGACAUGAUGAAUUGGAACUAUAUCUGUAAUUGUAAUGUUGUAAUGUUUCCUAUUCAAGAUGGUAAAUGUCUAUUUGAACAAUUUAAAUGUCAUAUUUUGGGGAAAUAAAGCUGUUGUUGGGUAUCUAAAAAAA